rnacentral:rRNA from 1 species
AUUGAACGCUGGCGGCAGGCCUAACGCAUGCAAGUCGAGCGGAUGAGAGGAGCUUGCUUCUCGAUUCAGCGGCGGACGGGUGAGUAAUGCCUAGGAAUCUGCCUGGUAGUGGGGGACAACGUUUCGAAAGGAACGCUAAUACCGCAUACGUCCUACGGGAGAAAGCAGGGGACCUUCGGGCCUUGCGCUAUCAGAUGAGCCUAGGUCGGAUUAGCUAGUUGGUGAGGUAAUGGCUCACCAAGGCGACGAUCCGUAACUGGUCUGAGAGGAUGAGCAGUCACACUGGAACUGAGACACGGUCCAGACUCCUACGGGAGGCAGCAGUGGGGAAUAUUGGACAAUGGGCGAAAGCCUGAUCCAGCCAUGCCGCGUGUGUGAAGAAGGUCUUCGGAUUGUAAAGCACUUUAAGUUGGGAGGAAGGGUUGUAGAUUAAUACUCUGCAAUUUUGACGUUACCGACAGAAUAAGCACCGGCUAACUCUGUGCCAGCAGCCGCAGUAAGAC